CUCAAGUUUCCAUUUGGGGUUUGUUCCCAGGAUAUUUUCAGUUGAAGCAAUCCUCAUCAACGGUAGGGAGGAAGACAUACCAAGCAAGGAGUGCCUCUCACUGCUCCAUCAUUAGAACCACUGCUAUGGAGAUGAGUGGAUAGGAAUCUUCCAAUUUCUAUUCUUUGUUUUCUUUGAUUCUUCAAGAUACAUUCUGCAUAUAGAAUUUUCCCCAAUGGUUUUUCCUUUCUAGAGAAAGAUUUGUCACCUGCUGAACCUCCCUUGAGCUGCUCAGAGAUCUAGGAGCUUUCCUGAACUGCCAGUAAUAGUGACUGUGAGCCUAAGUCCAUUGCUCCUGGUUCUAUGAUGUGUAUGAUAAGGGGUUCUUUUUUCUCCUCUGAAUGUCAAGCCUCGGAAAGGAUGAAGUACCCUGCUGAAUCUCAAGGUGGACUCAAAGGUGUCAAGUCUUAUGAUGGAGAGGUGGGGGUCUGGAGGACAAGGACUGACUUUCGUGAUGAAUCGGAAUGGAAACUGAAGUGUCGAGGUCCAGAGUAGAGACCAUAGUUCCACCUGGAACUGUUUCCAGAAUGCCGUGCCUGAGAAGCUUCAUGGAUCCUAAGCCUGCCCCACAGGAAGACCAGCUGCUUUCAAAUGAGUCCAGAAUAGUAGUUGCCCACUCUUUUCACAGUCACCAUCAGAGAAGCAGCCCCUCCUGUGCGUUCCAGGGUCUCUGUCUAAACCCUAUAAGACAGAGAAUGAUUUUUAAGGUCAAGGCUCAUUUCCAUUUCUCUUAUUGAGUAAGUUACCUCUAAACUGAGGGGAUGGUGGGAGGGGGUUACAGGCUGAGGAAGAUUAAUCCAUGUAAGGAGAUGGCCCAGAGACCAAUGAGG
rnacentral:lncRNA from 1 species